AGAGUUAAACAGUACGUGAAAUUGUUGAAAGGGAAACGAUUGAAGUCAGUCAUACCAACGGGAAAUCAACCUUUUGAGCUUGGUCUCGUGGGUUUUGAAGAGUUUCAAAGCCUUCGGAUUCGCGGGAUUGGGAUCUCUUGGUGUACUUUUUCGUACGGUUAGUCAACAUCGGUUUUGAAUGUCAUAAAAUGACUGGAGGAAUGUAGCUUCGAUCUCGUAUUGAAGUGUUAUAGCCUCUGGUAGAUGCGGUGACCGAAACUGAGGAUUGCAACGAAUACCCUUUUGGGCUAUUCGUCUGAUCUCUGAUACGUUGCCCUGAUGUUGAAAGCUUGCUUAUGAUGUUAGGGUAUUACGGUCAAAAGGUUAGAACGAAUUACAUUCGUUAAGGAUGUUGACGUAAUGACUUUAAACGACC
rnacentral:rRNA from 1 species